rnacentral:rRNA from 1 species
AUACGAGGGGUGCAAGCGUUAAUCGGAAUUACUGGGCGUAAAGCGUUCGUAGGCGGUUUGUUAAGCAAGAUGUGAAAGCCCUGGGCUCAACCUGGGAACUGCAUUUUGAACUGGCAAGCUAGAAUACUGUAGAGGGUGGUGGAAUUACCAGUGUAGCGGUGAAAUGCGUAGAGAUUGGAAGGAACAUCAGUGGCGAAGGCGGCCACCUGGACAGAUAUUGACGCUGAGGAACGAAAGCGUGGGGAGCGAACAGGAUUAGAAACCCGAGUAGUCC